rnacentral:ncRNA from 1 species
AAUUGAGGAAUAAUUUGGUCUGAUUGCAACCUCGUAAAAAAAUGCUAAAGCAGUAAU